GUUACUUUAUUUCUGAAAAUUGUGUAUUUGUUCUAUUUAACCUCCAUAUGAUAAGUUAUCUCCCUUUUUGAUAGGACUGUUCUAAAAUCUGUAAAUACAUUAUCACAAUAGGUUUGUAUUAGAAUCUUAUCAUAUCAACCUUUUCAUGUUCUAUUUAUAAUUCAGCAAUAUUUGAUAAAGUACUUUCACAGAAAAUAAUUUGUUUUUAACAGGCAAAAAAUGGUGUUUAGCCACCCCCUCCCCAAUCAUCUUAAAGCAACCAAAUACUGUGUGUUUAUUAUUUCUAUGUAGUCAGUUUUUUAUUAAUUUUCAUGUAGCC
rnacentral:lncRNA from 1 species